CACACAAUGUCCGUGACAUCCAGCAUUGUAUAAUUUGUAUUCACAGUGCUAAAAUUAAUGUAUAUCUCUUGGCUGAAAAGGUUUUUGUUUGUAUUAGAGGUAAUAUGUAGGAAUUCGUUGUUAUUAGGCAGACUGUGUGAAGGAGGCUGUUUAAGAUUCAGUGAGUCACUUUUGUGAGAACCGCUCGAAAUGAUUCAAUCUGAUUCAUAAAUGAUUCUUUCAGAAGAUUCUUUGAAAAUGUCCGAAUCAAAAAAGAAGGAAGUGACGUCGCUGUUUUUUGGGCCUGUAGUUUAUCAGAACUGAUCCUUCUUUUCUCUGCUCCUGAAGUUUUGACAUUUUCCUGAAAUCUAGUGAAUGCACUCUGGACUGUUACUCACAGGGACGUUUGGUCUUCAUCACCUGUUGAAAGGCUGAAGUCUGCAGCAUGUCUCUGACAGUGUCUCAAGGUGAGGGUUUGACCGUCCUCACCAUCAUCUCAAACCCAAAGAGCAAAUGGCCCGUGCUGUGUCAGGUUUUGAGUUUUCUCUGCUGCAGUCCGGUGUGUUCUGUGUCUCAGAAUAUGAAAAAGAAGCUGACGAACAUCCACACUGCUCUUGGGACUAUGCAGAUAAUAGUUGGAGUCAUCAAUAUUGUGUUUGGGAUUUUGCUUAAAAGCUCUAUGAUAUGGAAUAACAUUACAGAAUCUGGGGUUGUUAUCUGGAUCGGUGGAGUGGUAAGAAUUUGUCUUAUUCUGC